UAUUACAGAAUCUGCUGAAACUGCUGUGCAGCUCCAGGAAGGAAGCGUAUCCAGCUGAUGAUGGCUCUACUUUGCAAACACGGCUGCAGAGAUACCUCGCCGGGAAGAGGUACCUAGUUGUUCUUCAUGAUAUCUGGAAAGACCAAGAUUGGAUGGAUCUCAAGGAUGCACUCCCCGAUUCAAAACGUGGCAGCAGAAUAAUUGUCACCACUACCUACUCAAAUCUCUCAUCCAUUGAUCAUGUAUGCAGCUUACCCGGUCUAGAAUCAUUAGACGCGUGGAAACUCUUCUGCCGAAGGGCCUUCCCCAACGGGCAAUGCCCUGCAGAGUUGAAAGAGAUUUCCAACAAAAUUUUGACAAGAUGCGAAGGGCUGCCCCUUGCGAUUGUGGCAGUAGCUAGCGCACUCGAGCAGAAACCGCAGAGUCUGCUUGAGUGGGAGAGAUUUCACUAUGAUCUUGGAAGUGGAAGCCGGAGCAGCUCCAGCCUUUUCCCCAUCAACAACGCUCUGCAGCGCAGCUACAUGGACCUCUCCAGCAGCCUCAAGUGUUGUUUCUUGUACAUGAGCAUUUUCCCCGAAGAUCACUCCGUGGAGCGCCGCAGGCUUAUACGUCUCUGGGUGGCUGAACGCUUCGCAGUGACCACCGAUGACCAGACAGCUGAGGAAGUUGCUGAAGACUAUCUCAACCAACUCAUCCACAGGAACUUGCUUAAUGUUUGCAGCUGGGAUAUUGAUGGUCGACCUAGAAAUUGUCGUGUCCUCAACCUCGUGCUCAAGUUCAUCAUCCGAAAAUGCAAGGACGAAAGUUUUGCAUCAAUUUUUUCCAAAGACAAUACCAAUCAAAAUCUAAACCAUAAGAUUCGGCGUCUGUCUGUCCACGACAGCUGCCAGCUUUCCGCGGAAGAUGGUGAUCACUUUGCUAGUGUCCGUUCCAUGUUUGUGUUUAGGUGUGUGCCUCUUUCUUUGGUUAGUUUUUUCUUCUUACAUAAAAUUUCUAAGCUAGUGCUUAAUGUUUUUAAUUUCCAGGGAGCUUGAUCCCCCAAAUUUUGAGAAAGAUCUGCGAAAGCUUAAGUUGAUCAAAGUCGUAGAUGUGCAAGGUGCGCCUCUGAGAAAAUUUCCCAAGGAAAUCACCCGUUUCACCCUUAUGAGGUAUCUGAGUUUUAGAUACACCAAAAUAGAUUCUAUUCCCAGAUCCAUAGAGAAACUGUCUUACCUUGAAACCUUGGACCUGAAACAAACCGAUGUGACAGAGCUUCCGCAAGAAAUAUCCAACUUGCACAACCUCUGUCACCUCUUGGUCUACAAAUACAACGUCAGCGAUUACGCAGCGUUCGACUCCGUCCAAGGUGUCAAGUUGCACGAGGGAAUCAGCAAAUUAACAAAGCUACAACAUUUGUCCCUCGUGAAGGUCGGCCCAAAUGGUAGAAUCCUGAAAGACUUGAAAGCAUUGACCCAACUAAGGAAGCUAGGAGUGACGGGGCUCAAAAGGGAACACGGCAAACAUCUGUGGGCAGCUGUUCAAUUGAUCAAGUGUCUGAAAACUCUCAAGAUAACCUCCGAUGCAAAGGAAGAAUACAUCGAAAUGGAGGAGGAGAUGCAGCAUCCUCCCAUGACCCUCGAACGUCUAUAUCUGAGAGGGCGCUUGGAAAGGAUGCCGAGAUGGAUCGGCAAACUGAAUAAUCUGCUGAAGAAGAUUGGUUUGAUGUGGUCUCAACUGAGCGAGAGCCCUCUAGACACUCUGAAACGACUCCCAUAUCUGACGGAGCUUGUGCUGCUUGAUAGCUUUACUGGGGAAGACUUGAUAUUUGAAGCUUCAGGUUUCCAGAAGCUUAAGAAUCUGGUGGUGGAGGAUUUCGCCAAUCUGAAUAUGAUCAAGAUUGAGAAUAAAGCAAUGCCUGGGCUUAAGCAAUUAACGCUUGGUAGAUGCCCUAAUAUUGUGACGAUGGUGUUGGGAGUAGAAAGUCUCAGCAAGGUUGAAGAGCUGACUCUUUACGACAUGGCCGAGGAGUUGAUAGCUCGACUUAGCAUCAAUGGUGAAGAUCGCGAUUGGGUUAAACACAUUCAUCUCAUUCAUUCAUACACUCUCAGAAAUCACGUUUGGUCGUUUCACAAUCUCUCCGAUCCUUUUUCUUUCUCACAUUGAACCAAAACAUUGCUCACUAUGUUUCCUUGUAAAUGUGUAUUUAUCCACAUUAGUGUGCGUUUACUUUGAUGGAUAAAUUUAUCCACGAAAAAAGAUGGAUAAUAAAAAUUUAUGUCUUUAAAUAUCUUCUUUCUUUUCCAACAUUUGAUACAAAAAUAUUUUUUCUUCCUUAUUUUCACUUCAAGGAUAGAUAAUAUUAUCCCUCCAAUUUUGGAGGGAUAAUAUUAUUUGAAAUAGUGAAAAUACCGAAUGGGCAAUGUAAAAUACCGAAUGCAGUGAAAACAUCUCCAACGUCCAACGGUUCUGUAGCGCUAUUAUUUGGAGUAGUCACUACAAAAAAAGGCCUAUUACCGGCGGCAUUUUCCGUCUGUAAUAGGGACAUGGCGGCCGGUAAAUACAUUUCCGGCAGCAUUAUCGGCGACAACUUGCCGCUGGUAAUGUCCUCAUCAGUAAUUCAAUUACCGGUGACGAGCAUACGCCGUUGGCAAUCACCGACGGCCGCAUCGCCGGUAAUGUCGCCGUUAAAAGGCGGAGAAUCGUCGGAGAAUUACUGGCGAUAAACGCCGCCGCUAAUUACCGGCGGCGCCACCGUCGCCGGUAAUGUUGAUUGGAAGAUCUUGGUCCAUGGAGUCCCAAGAAGGUAAGAACUCCAACCUGUCUGAUGGCGAUCUCGCCGAUCUAUGCCAGAUAAGAGGGAUCAAAUUUAAGAGAGAAAACUUAGCUUUUGUUUCUGUUUCUUCAUGAAGCACAGGUCCUCAUUCAGGUGGGUUUUCAAUAUAUCUCUCUUCUGUGCUAAUUCGAAGAAAUCGAACCACAUAAGGUAAGAAAACCUCGGACCUAGCGACGAUUGGUGCGACGUCGAUCUAAGGUCGAAAAAGAACAAGCGACAGCCAGCGGCUUGAGCAGAGGCGGCAAGUGGCGUGAGGGACUCCUUCGAGAAUCGUCGUAUAAAACACUGACGAUCGGCUAAUUUUAGAACGGAAAUUGCUCGCCAAUCGGAGGAUUUAUGGAGAUUUCUGGGGAUUGUUCAUGGGGUCCUCGAUUAGGGACUGAUUGAGGGAGUGAAAUUAAAAUGUUUCCCAUCUUGCAGAUCAGGAACGUGGAUUGAGGGCUUUUGCAGAUUUUACAAUUGAAAUCGAAGCAUGAUUUGGAGAACCAGAAGAAAUUCAGAUCGGUAUGUUCAAGGAUGAUUUGGUGGCGGCGGAUGGCUAGAUUCAAGUCUGGCGACUAUGUUCGCUAGAACUCCAAGGUGGUGGUGUCGACGGAAUCACUGAAAUUACUGUAAUCCCGAGGUGGCAUUGUGGCUGACCUUAUAAUCGGCUCUCUUUCUAAUCUCGGGGUGGCAUUGUGGCUGACCUUAGAAUCAGCUCUCUUUCUAAUACCCUUUUUUGAAUCGGCCCUUUUGCUAGUGCUGGCCUCUAGUUGAAAUUGGGCUCCAGUUUUUUCGCUGAGAUCUCCCGAAAUUUGGGGCGGCGGUGAAUCUGUUAUAUUUUUUUUCCGAUGCACCAUGACCAGAAACAAAAUUCUCACGUGUUAAACCGAUUCUUUCCCACAGACGGCGCCAGUUGAUGAAGCAAGAUUUAACACCUAAUAAUAGAACAUAUAGAAAUAUAAGAUAACAUGAGAAUUUAACGUGGUUCGAUCUUUAAAGAUCUACAUCCACAGAAGUUGCCCGAAUAAUUCCACUAUUUUUAGAGAGAAGUUUACAAUUACAAGUGAAGUAGUCAGAAUGAAUCUCAUUUUUCAUGUACAAGAGCCCUAUUUAUAGAUGACUAAUUGGGCCUAACCCGAAAGCCCCCAAAACAGAGAAAUGAAGCACAAGUUGAUGGCAAAGCUGGCUCUGGAAGCGCUGGAAUCCGGCAAGGCUAGAAUCUAGCAAGGCUGGCUCUUAAAGCGUUGGAAUCCGGCAAGGCUGGAUACAAACCCCAAAGCUAGCAUUUUCAUGGAUGAUCCGGCCAAAGAUGGGAUUUCCACUGUGUACAGCGAUGAUGCAUAUUUUACUCCUCAUCAGUCACCAUGACAGGAGCUUCAAGAGAGUAGCUCGCGGUUGAAUGCCCCUCCAUUGCUGAAGCAGACUUGGAAAUCUCCUCAAUAGCCUAGCUUUGCCUCGAGUGAUAAUACCAAUGUUCUCCAAAGUGAUGUUUAGGGCAGCACUUGAAGCUUUGUUCUCCAUUUUAAUUUGCUUGAGUUGUUGUUGGUGAAGAGGAGAUAUGAGAGGUAGAGAGGUCCCACCGUGCGUGCCAAAAUUUGUAAACACAAAUUUUAUUAUAUUCAAUUUAAUGAAAUACAAAAAUGUGUACAAAUCCAAAAUAUAUGGAUUGAGAUUAAUUUGUUGCGGGUUGCGAUUCUCUACUUUAAUCCGCUGAUUCUCCUCUUCAAACUUUUUCAAAUCCUUGGAGGGAAAUAUAAUUUCUUGAUCUCCUUGAACUUGAACGUUGACUUGAAUUUGAUUUGAUAACGUCAAUCCAGAGGGCUUCCACCUUAUUUCUGAAUCAAACGUUGACUUGGAUGAAUUUGAUGAAGAACUCUUUGAUUUUCUUUGCAGAACGCCUUGAUUGUUGGAGAUUACUUCGUUUAUAGAGAAUUACUCCUUCAAAGCUCUCAAAAUGAUUUCUGUUCCUUUUGAAUCCACAAAUGAUUCAUAUUUAUAGGUGAAGAAUGUAGUGGGCUGGUGGGCUUUGGCCUAUCAUGUUGGGCUUCUAGGGCUGAGGUGGCGCGAUUUGAUUGGCUCCUCAAGAUUCAUAUUUAUCUACAUAAAAUAUUUAAUAUUUUAUGUAGAUUUUCCACAUGUCAAUUUUUAACUGGUCAAUAAAUCCACAUAGUCAAUUAUUAAUUAUAUAUUUAUUUAAUCUUGAAAUUAUAUUUAAUUUAAUUCUAUAAUAUAAAAUAAAAUAUACUAUAAUUUCAUAUUUAAUCUAUAAUUUCCACACAGCAAGGUUUAAUAGGCUAUAAAUUUAAUUGCCUACAUUAUCUCCUUAAAUUCGUGGAAUCUACCACACAACCAACCAAUUAAAACAAAACCUAACUAUGUCAGAUUUAAUAAAGUUGGUAUUUGUCAUGGGGAACGAAGACGAUAAGAGGAAGCCUACAUACAACUUACACAAGGACCACAACCUACCUGGAUUUUCAAAUUAUGCAUCACAUCAUUAUUUAUCCCACACUCACUUAUCUUAUUCAUGGUUUGAUAACUGCAAAAGGAUAAUCGAAUUACGAUGCCCCAACUAUUUCUAAACGCAAUAAAUUUAUGCAGUCACCCUGUGGUCACACACAAUCUAAUUUAAUAGAAAAAAUUUAAUUUAAUUAAUUUAUUUUUUAAAUAAAAUAAGAUUUAAUUAUUUUAUUAUAUUUUUUGUAAUUUCUUUUGCAUCUUUUAUUUUUAAUUUUUUUUAACAAAAAAAAUUAUAAAAAAAUAACUACAAUGUAAAGAAUACAAUAAAAUAACUAAAUCUUAUUUUUAUUUUAAAAAAUAAAUUAAAUAAAUAAUAUUUUUUUCUAUUUAAAUAAUUUGUAGAUGGCCACAAUGUGACUAUUUAGCAUCACUCUUCUAAUGUUACCCUCACGUAAUAACUUUGUCUUGAUUUCACCACAUUUUUAUGAAAUACUCCCUCUAUCUAUCAAUAAAUGUAUGUCUCGAUUAGAAAGUAAAAAAAUCUAUUGAUGACAAAGGUAAAAUGAGAAUUAAGACUAUUUUUUUACUACAAAAUUUCGAAAUAUAAUAUUUAGAGGAACUUAUAAAUUGUUUAGGAUUUUAUCGUAAUUAACAUUUUGAAAAAAUAUAUAAGAUCUUAAACAACUUAUAAACUUAAACAAACACCCUCUUAGAUGGGAAGAGAUCCAGUGUCCCACAAUCUUAUGUGUGUCAUUGUGUCUCAUGCUUAUAUCUAUUAUUUUAAAAAUAUUUUUUUAUAAAAAUAAAAGUACAUCACUUUGAAUUUAUCAACAUAUUAUUAGCUAAUAAAAGUGAAAUUAAAUGAUGAAAAAUAAUUAUAUACCCUAGAUUGAUGGAAUAAACCCUAGUUAAUAAUCACAAAAUUAAACUAAAGCAUAUAAAAUUGAAAUUGAAGAAAAUAUAUAUAAGAAAUUAAACAAAAUUGAAAGUGGGACACAAAGUGUGACAUAAAAUGUGGUACACUGAAUCUCAAUCCCUCUUGGAUCAUGUUUGGUUGGUCGUUUAUUAAGGGGUUGGAAAGAGAUUCAAUUAAUUGAAUCCAUUAUUUGUUGUUUGGUUUGAGUAAUGAGUUAAUCAUUACCCUUAUUUGAGAGUAAUCCUAUCACCCAAUUUGUUACCCUUCAAUAGAAGAUAAAUAAAAGAAAGAAAUCUCUUACUAAAGAUUCAUUUCCAUUAUUAAACCAAACAUUCAAUAAAAAAUAAUUAUUAUUACAAUUUCUCUCUUAUAUUUGAUUUCAUUCCCUUUCCAUAGAGUCGGUCUUUCCAUUAGGCAAAAGGGGUAAGGGCUUAGGGCCCCCCAAAAAAGUAAAGCUUAAUAAUAUUAACAGUAAUAAUAAAAAAGAAAUUCUCUAAGUUCAUUUGAUCUACUUCAAUAUUCUAGUGUAUUUUUCAAAAAUAACGUCUUUCUCUUUCUCUCCGACUCUCGCUUCCGUACUCUGUUCAGACUGCUCCAUCUCUUCUCAUUCUCUUAUAUAUCGUAAUCUCUCUCUCUCAUUCUAAUAGUGGUCUUAUGCAUUGAUCACGAGGUAUUAGAAAAGUUUGAUCUUGAAGAAAUUGAUGAUUUUGCUUCUAAAAAAAAGUUAAAAUUAAGAUUUAAAUUAUUUGACCAUAGUUUUCUAGUUUAUUGCACUUUAUAAUUAAUGUUAUAAUUAUACAAUUAUCUCAAAUUUGCUGCAAAUUGAAAUUUCAAUUUUUAGAGGGGGCCUUUUUUUUCUUUUUCACCUAGAGUCCCCAAAAAAUAUCAAGGCAGGACCUAUAUUUUCAUUCUUCUACUUGAACCAAACGAACACUAAGUUGAGAAGACGGAGUUUAAAUUUAGAGCAAGUAGUACUAGUCAUUAGCAUGAAGUGUCAAUCGGAGAAAUUCACAAAGUAGUCCAGUAAUUAACAUCGUCUAUCGACUUUUUUCUUAUAUCCCUUGGAAGCUGGCCGUCUUUUAUUCACCCCAACAAAGAAAAGAAAAAAUGGCGGAAGUGGUAGUUGCGUCGGCGUUGAGUGUAGUCCAGAUCAUUAUUCCUUUCCUUACCAAAUCCAAUCAGAAGGAUGAUAUCGAGAGCAUGAAAACAUGGCUUAGCUUGAUGCUGGCUUUCAUGGAAGAGAACCGCGGGCGUGAAGGGAGCCAGACGCUGCUAGAAUUCGUCAAAAACGUUGGGAAAAUCGCCUACGAAAUCGAAGAUGUCGAUGACGACUUCAUCUUUCACUCGCCGCCCUACACAUUACACCAUCACUCGCAAGAUUCACGGCGCCAUCCACGACAUCUACCAUCAGUUUCCGCUCCGCAGAGUAUCGGAGAAAAUAGCAAUCAUCAACAAGAAACUUGAAGAAAUCAAGUCGCAGAGUGCAACUUUUAAUUCCAUUAAUCCAGCUGCAGCCUCAUCAAGCUAAACAAACAGAUGUAGAGUGAGUCCUCUUCUCGUCGACGAUGAGAUGGUUGGCUAUGAAAAGCCAAAGAAAGAAUGUAUGAUGAGAUUGGUGGAUGGAGAAAAGAGGCAACUCACACUAGCCCUAUAUGGUCGUGCUGGGUCUGGGAAGACUAAAUGUAUUCGGGAAACUACUGACUGAGGCAAAAUUUGAUUGUCAUGCUUGGGUAUGUGUGUCUCAGCACCCUGAUAUUCACAACAUAUCACAAAAUCUGCUAAAACUGUUGUGCAGCUCGAGGAAGGAAGCGUUUCCAGCAGAUGAUGAUGGCUCUUCUAUGCAAACACGGCUGCAGAGAUACCUCACCGGGAAGAAGUACCUAGUUGUUCUUGAUGAUAUUUGGAAAGAUCAAGAUUGGAUGGAUCUCAAGGAUGCACUCCCCGAUUCAAAACGUGGCAGCAGAAUAAUUGCCACCACUACCUACUCAAAUCUCUCCUCCAUUGAUCAUG
rnacentral:lncRNA from 1 species